GCAGCAGGCGCGAAACUUACCCACUCGAGACUUUCGGAGGUGGUAAUGACCAGUUACAUGUCAACCUUUUUGGUUGUUUGUAUAGGAUUGCACUUUUCCAGUGCAGUGAAACCUAGCAGAGGGCCAGUCUGGUGCCAGCAGCUGCGGUAAUUCCGGCUCUGCGAGUUUGCUCCCAUAUUGUUGCAGUUAAAACGCUCGUAGUCAGAACUGCCUGCAAAGGCGUACGAACAUCUGUUCGUUCACUGUGAACAAAUCAGGACGCUUAGUGUAUGGUUUUAGGAAUGACUUAGCGCAGUAUGAUAUCUUUACCUUUGGUAAGAUCAAUGAGAGCCACCGGGGGUAGAUCUAUUUCAUGGCGAACGGUGGAAUGUUUUGACCCAUGAGAGAGAAACGAAGGCGAAAGCAUCUACCUAGAGGGUUUCUGUCGAUCAAGGGCGAGAGUAGGAGUAUCCAACCGGAUCAGAGACCCGGGUAGUUCCUACCUUAAACGAUGCCGACAGGGGCUUGUCCUUUUAUGAGGGCAGGACCUUAGGAGAAAUCAUAGUUCUUGGGCUCUGGGGGAACUACGACCGCAAGGCUGAAACUUGAAGGAAUUGACGGAAGGGCACACCAGGGGUGGAGCUUGUGGCUUAAUUUGAAUCAACACGGGGAAACUUACCAGGACCAGAUGUUUUUAAUGACUGACAGGCUUCGGGUCUUUCAGGAUAUGACUUUUGGUGGUGCAUGGCCGUUGGUGGUGCGUGGGUUGACCUGUCAAGCGUUGAUUCAGAUAACGAGCGAGAUUAUCGCCAAUUAAAUACUCGUUUCUGUUUACAGAGAUAGAGUUCUAAUUGGGACUCCCUGCGUAUCAAGCAGGAGGAAGAGGGUAGCAAUAACAGGUCCGUGAUGUCC
rnacentral:rRNA from 1 species